AUUGAACGCUGGCGGCAGGCCUAACACAUGCAAGUCGAGCGGAGCGGCGGACGGGUGAGUAAUGCCUAGGAAUCUGCCUGGUAGUGGGGGAUAACGUCCGGAAACGUGCGCUAAUACCGCAUACUAUCAGAUCAGCCUAGGUCGGAUUAGCUAGUUGGUGGGGGAAAGGCCUAACAAGGCGACGAUCCGUAACUGGUCUGAGAGGAUGAUCCGGCACACUGGAACUGAGACACGGUCCCGACUCCUACGGGAGGCAGCAUUGGGGAAUAUUGGACAAUUGGCGAAAGCCUGAUCCAGCCAUGCCGCGUGUGUGAAGAAGGUCUUCGGGUUGGAAAGCACUUUCAGCGGGGAGGCGUUACCCGCAGAAGAAGCACCGGCUAACUCCGUGCCAGCCGCCGCGGUAAUUC
rnacentral:rRNA from 1 species